AAAAGACUCACAAGAAAAACUGUUUUGUUCAGAGUAAGAUUAAUAUAAAAAUUUUUGAUGCUAUGAGAUGGUCUCAUCAAUGUGCAACAAUUGAACUGGAUUUCCAACUUCCUGAGAGAUUCAACCUCACGCUAGGAUUUUAUGGCUUUCUCCCCAUCAAGUUGUAGUAAUUCCUGUCAGUAGUAAAUAUGAUGAUUAUGCCGAACCGGUAAAUUUAAUUUGAUUCAAAAGAAGUUCCAUGCAGCUGGUUAUCGUGUUGAUACAGACUUGGAUCACGGAUCAACACUAAAUAAGAAAGUUCGCAAUGCACAACUUUCACAGUACAACUUCAUUCUUGUUGUUGGUGAAAAGAGACGGUCUCAGACACGGUCAACGUCAGAACACGUGACAACAAAGUACUCGGUGAAAAAUCGGUCAUGGCCGUGAUCGAACGCUUGCGAGAUUUAGUCAGCUCACGAAGUCUGACAAGCGAA